UACAGAGGGUGCGAGCGUUGUUCGGAAUUAUUGGGCGUAAAGGGCGCGCAGGCGGCGCAUUUUGUCAGGCGUGAAAGCCCCGGGCUUAACCUGGGAACUGCGUUUGAUACGGAUGGCUAGAGUUCGGGAGAGGAGAGUGGAAUUCCCAGUGUAGAGGUGAAAUUCGUAGAUAUUGGGAAGAACACCGGUGGCGAAGGCGGC
rnacentral:rRNA from 1 species